rnacentral:rRNA from 1 species
CUUAAACCGAAUUUAACCUUUUUUUUAGAUUCCUUGGGUCAGGACGAACGCUGUUAAAAUGAAGCUUAACACAUGCAAGUCGAACGGGCCCGUCCUUGUUUUUUUUGAAAGGCGGGUUGAGUGGCGAACGGGUGAGUAUCACGUGAGUAACCUGCCCUCCUCUCCUGGAUAACCGCUUGAAAGGUCGGAUAAUACGGGGUGGUCCGGUUGGUCCGCAUGGGCUGGUCGGGAUAGUUUCAUCUUCGGGUGUUUCGGUGGGGGAUGGGCUCGCGGCCUAUCAGCUUGUUGGUGGGGUGAUGGCCCACCAAGGCGGUGACGGGUAGCCGGCCUGAGAGGGUGGGCGGCCACACUGGGACUGAUACACGGCCCAGACUCCUGCGGGAGGCAUCUUUGGGGGGUAUUGCACAAUGGGCGGAAGCCUGAUGCUGCGUUUUUUCGUGAGGGAUGGAGGCCUUCCGGUUGUGAUCCUCUGUUUCCGGUGGUGAAGGCCCCGCCCUUGGUGGUGGGGUUGACGGUAGCCGGGUAUGAAGCGCCGGCUAACUACGUGCCAGCAGCCGCGGUAAUACGUAGGGCGCGAGCGUUGUCCGGAAUUAUUGGGCGUAAAGGGCUUGUAGGCGGCUGGCCGCGUCCGUCGUGAAAUCC